CCUACGGGAGGCAGCAGUGGGGAAUAUUGGACAAUGGGCGAAAGCCUGAUCCAGCAAUGCCGCGUGAGUGAUGAAGGCCUUCGGGUCGUAAAGCUCUUUUACCAGGGAUGAUAAUGACAGUACCUGGAGAAUAAGCUCCGGCUAACUCCGUGCCAGCAGCCGCGGUAAUACGGAGGGAGCUAGCGUUGUUCGGAAUUACUGGGCGUAAAGAGUACGUAGGCGGCUAUUCAAGUCAGAGGUGAAAGCCCGGGGCUCAACCCCGGAACUGCCUUUGAAACUAGAUAGCUCGAAUCUUGGAGAGGUCAGUGGAAUUCCGAGUGUAGAGGUGAAAUUCGUAGAUAUUCGGAAGAACACCAGUGGCGAAGGCGACUGACUGGACAAGUAUUGACGCUGAGGUACGAAAGCGUGGGGAGCAAACAGGAUUAGAUACCCUGGUAGCCCACGCCGUAAACGAUGAUAACUAGUUGUUCGGUCACUUGGUGACUGAGUGACGCAGCUAACGCAUUAAGUUAUCCGCCUGGGGGUAGGUACGGUCGCGAGAAGUUAAACGUUAAAGGUAAAGUUAGUAACGGUCGUGUUAGAGUGCGAACGGACGACGACGAGGGAGGAGG
rnacentral:rRNA from 1 species